UACGUAGGUGGCAAGCGUUGUCCGGAUUUAUUGGGCGUAAAGGGAGCGCAGGCGGUGACUUAAGUCUGAUGUGAAAGCCCACGGCUCAACCGUGGAAGGUCAUUGGAAACUGGGCCACUUGAAUAUAGAAGAGGAAAGUGGAAUUCCAUGUGUAGCGGUGAAAUGCGUAGAUAUAUGGAGGAACACCAGUGGCGAAGGCGACUCUUUGGUCUGUAACUGACGCUGGGGCGCGAAAGCGUGGGGAGCAAACAGGACUAGAUACCCCGGUAGU
rnacentral:rRNA from 1 species